ACAUUGCGCGUGAGGGAUGGAAGCGGCAUCCUUUAUGUUUUUCCUUUAAAAACAUAAAGAUACAGCGGACAGCCCGACAGCGC
rfam:Flavobacterium sp. EM1308 contig00052, whole genome shotgun sequence.